rfam:Desulfuribacillus alkaliarsenatis strain AHT28 DSM-24608_Contig_6_85X, whole genome shotgun sequence.
UAAGUCCUUACAUGAUAAGGUCUAGCCAACCAUCAUUAUCGAGUGUUGUACCGUUAUUGGUGACAAUAAAGGUAAAGCGUACACAGAGAGUAUAUAGACCAUAGGGGAACCGCAUCCCUGAAGCACAUUCAGCCCCGUUAAUGCAGUACCUAUCAUUAUAGGUAAAAAUGCAGACGACGACAUAUUUAACGUUAUGGAAGUCAACACAAAAGAAUCGAAAAUGGCGAGAUUCUGGAGGGUCUGUCGGUGUCUAAGCACA